CAAAUGAAGAUGUAGUUUGCACGUCAGGAGCCACCUCACAGAUGGGCCAGUGAAGCAAGUCUGGCCACCAGUUCCCACCGGCCAUCGAGUCUCUUGGCACAGAUAACUGAAGGUCCACCUCGGAUAACUGAAGGUCCACCCGGCACCGGAUAACUGAAGGUCCACCUCAGAUAACUGAAGGUCCACCUCGGAUAACUGAAGGUCCACCCGGCACCGGAUAACUGAAGGUCCACCUCAGAUAACUGAAGGUCCACCUCGGAUAACUGAAGGUCCACCCGGCACCGGAUAACUGAAGGUCCACCUCGGAUAACUGAAGGUCCACCUCGGAUAACUGAAGGUCCACCCAGCACCGGAUAACUGAAGGUCCACCUCAGAUAACUGAAGGUCCACCUCGGAUAACUGAAGGUCCACCUCGGAUAACUGAAGGUCCACCUCGGAUAACUGAAGGUCCACCCGGCACCGGAUAACUGAAGGUCCACCUCGGAUAACUGAAGGUCCACCUCGGAUAACUGAAGGUCCACCCGGCACCGGAUAACUGAAGGUCCACCUCAGAUAACUGAAGGUCCACCUCGGAUAACUGAAGGUCCACCCAGCACCCGGAUAACUGAAGGUCCAGCCAGUACCCAAGACGGCUGGAGGCUGACAGGCACUGGUGCUGAGUACC